rnacentral:rRNA from 1 species
CCUACGGGUGGCAGCAGUGAGGAAUAUUGGACAAUGGGCGAGAGCCUGAACCAGCCAAGCCGCGUGAAGGAUGACGGCCCUACGGGUUGUAAACUUCUUUUGUCAGGGAGCAAUUGGGUCCACGCGUGGGCUGAGCGAGAGUACCUGAAGAAAAAGCAUCGGCUAACUCCGUGCCAGCAGCCGCGGUAAUACGGAGGAUGCGAGCGUUAUCCGGAUUUAUUGGGUUUAAAGGGUGCGUAGGUGGAAUAUCAAGUCAGCGGUAAAAAUUCGGGGCUCAACCCCGUCGUGCCGUUGAAACUGAUGUUCUUGAGUGGGCGAGAGGUAUGCGGAAUGCGUGGUGUAGCGGUGAAAUGCGUAGAUAUCACGCAGAACUCCGAUUGCGAAGGCAGCUUGCUGCAGCGGAACUGACGCUGAUGCUCGAAAGCGCGGGUAUCGAACAGGAUUAGAUACCCCAGUAGUC